rnacentral:rRNA from 1 species
AUACGGAGGGUGCAAGCGUUGUUCGGAAUUACUGGGCGUAAAGCGCGUGCAGGCGGUAAGGUAAGUCAGAUGUGAAAGCCCCGGGCUCAACCCGGGAAGUGCAUUUGAUACUGCCUUUCUUGAGUAUGGGAGAGGAGAGUGGAAUUCCCAGUGUAGAGGUGAAAUUCGUAGAUAUUGGGAGGAACACCCGUGGCGAAGGCGACUCUCUGGACCAAUACUGACGCUGAGACGCGAAAGCGUGGGGAGCGAACAGGAUUAGAUACCCGGGUAGUCC